AACCAAUAAGCUGAGCUAUAUUAUACGGUAAAAAGACAGUUAGAUAGAAAAAUAGUUUAUUGAUUAUUUAUAUAAAGGUGAAAUUUAGUAUAGGUAUAAUAUUAUAACAAUGACUUUAUUAUUGAAUCUGUGACAUCUUUAAGGGAAACUGGGAUUUGAUACCCCACUAUUUUUAGGUAUAAAUUAAUAAUUUACCAGAGUACUACGAAUAGAUUUAUUUAAAACUCAAAGAGCUUGGCGGUGUUUUAGACCGGUUAGGGGAACCUGUUUCAUAAUCGAUAUUCCACGUGGGACCUUACCUUUUUUAGUAAUACAGUUUGUAUACCGUUGUCAUCAGGUAACUUUUAGAAAAUAAUAAAAGUUAGCUAUAAAACUUAUAUGUUUAGAUGUCAAAUCAAGGUGCAACUAAAGAAAAGGAGAGAAUGGGUUACAAUUAUAAAUUUAUAAUAUGAAUGAUUUAAUGAAAAGAAAAUCUGAAGGAGGACUUAAAAGUAAGUUAGUCUAUAAAAACUAGUUGAACUUGGCUCUGAAAUGUGU
rnacentral:rRNA from 1 species